rnacentral:rRNA from 1 species
UUACGAGGUCAGGACACUGUGAGGAUUGACAGAUUGAAAGCUCUUUCUUGAUUCAGUGGGUGGUGGUGCAUGGCCGUUCUUAGUUGGUGGAGUGAUUUGUCUGGUUAAUUCCGUUAACGAACGAGACCCUAACCUGCUAAAUAGUCACGCGAACCGGUCCGCAAGGGCUCAAAGUUCGCGGCUCGACUUCUUAGAGGGACUAUUCGCACCCGCCAGCGAAUGGAAGUUUGAGGCAAUAACAGGUCUGUGAUGCCCUUAGAUGUUCUCGGCCGCACGCGCGUUACACUGACGGAGUCAACGAGCGUUUUUCCUUGCCCGACAGGGCUGGGUAACCUCCUGAAACUCCGUCGUGAUGGGGAUAGAUCAUUGCAAUUAUUGAUCUUGAACGAGGAAUUCCUAGUAAGCGCGAGUCAUCAACUCGCGCUGAUUACGUACCCUGCCCUUUGUACACACCGCCCGUCGCUCCUACCGAUUGAACGGUCCGGCGAGAACUCCGGAUGGUC